GAUGAAGAACGUAGUGAAAUGCGAUAAGUAAUGUGAAUUGCAGAAUUCAGUGAAUCAUCGAAUCUUUGUACGCACCUUGCGCCCUUUGGCCAUUCCGAAGGGCAUGCCUGUUUGAGUAUCAUGAACACCUCAACUCUUCAUGGUUUUCCGUGAUGAGCUUGGACUUUGGGGGUCUUGCUGGCCUAUGGUCAGCUCCUCUAUAAUAAAUCAGCUUGCCAGUGUUUGGUGGGUAUCACAGGUGUGAUAACUAUCUACGCUUGUGGUUUUCCACCAGGUAACCUUCAGCAGUGGAGGUUCGCUGGAGCUCACAGAUGUGUCUCUCCUCAGUGAGGACAGCUCUUUGAAUGUUUGAUCUCAAAUCAGGUAGGACUACCCGCUGAACUUAAGCAUAUCAAUAAGCGGAGGA
rnacentral:misc_RNA from 1 species